UUUAGGAAAAUGACAAUGAAAUCCUGGGCUGCGUUCACAAACUUUAGUUGGUAAGGUUGGUAAGAUGUAUUCCGAACUAAUCUCAUUCGCUGUUUUAUCCUUGUUUAUCAUAGCAGAUCUUUGUCAAGUUGCGGAAUAUACCCUUCAGACUUCUUCAGAAUCGACUGGCGUUUGUUUGUCCACGGUCCGUGUGAAAAGACAAAAGAAUAAACGAAUUCUUCUAACAAGAUGCAAACAACAUUUUAUACAACAGCCUGUUACAACAAGCUUAGAAAAAUAUAAGCUAUUAUCUAAUUUUAGAAAAAAAUUAAGUUACAUUAUUUUAAUAUUUGUUGGCACUAUUGCUCAUGUUGUAUUGAAAAUCCUUAUUUGCUGAUCUCGAGCGCAGGCAUACAUAUAUGUGGUAUAUUUGUGUUUUUUCCUACCCAGCACUGUCAAAAAAAAUUGACUCAUAAGAAAGUUGUUGAAGUCUGUACUCUAAAUAAAGCGUUUUUAAUCAUUUAGAUGAAAAAUUUGACAAGACUGGGUCUUAUUUUGGACUUGCAGAAGAUAUUUCAAAUUAAAUUUCAUGCAUAAUUUCUUCAUAAUCUUUACAGCCUUUGUUUUUAUUCUUACGCAUAAGUAGUAAAUGAAACAUACUAACCAAUGCAUGUACUUUCCUCGCAAGAUUACAUAG
rnacentral:lncRNA from 1 species